GACGAACGCUGGCGGCGUGCCUAAUACAUGCAAGUAGAACGCUGAAGCUUGGUGCUUGCCCCGAGCGGAUGAGUUGCGAACGGGUGAGUAACGCGUAGGUAACCUGCCUGGUAGCGGGGGAUAACUAUUGGAAACGAUAGCUAAUACCGCAUAAGAGUAGAUGUUGCAUGACAUUUGCUUAAAAGGUGCAAUUGCAUCACUACCAGAUGGACCUGCGUUGUAUUAGCUAGUUGGUGAGGUAACGGCUCACCAAGGCAACGAUACAUAGCCGACCUGAGAGGGUGAUCGGCCACACUGGGACUGAGACACGGCCCAGACUCCUACGGGAGGCAGCAGUAGGGAAUCUUCGGCAAUGGACGGAAGUCUGACCGAGCAACGCCGCGUGAGUGAAGAAGGUUUUCGGAUCGUAAAGAUCGGUUGUAAGAGAAGAACGAGUGCGAGAGUGGAAAGUUCACACUGUGACGGUAUCUUACCAGAAAGGGACGGCUAACUACGUG
rnacentral:rRNA from 1 species